GAAGCAUAGCUCAGCUGGUAGAGCACCUGCCUUACAAGCAGGGGGUCACAGGUUCGAGCCCUGUUGUUCCC
rnacentral:tRNA from 1 species